CCUACGGGAGGCAGCAGUGAGGAAUAUUGGACAAUGGGCGCAAGCCUGAUCCAGCCAUGCCGCGUGCAGGAUGACGGUCCUAUGGAUUGUAAACUGCUUUUAUACGAGAAGAAACACUACUUCGUGAAGUAGCUUGACGGUAUCGUAAGAAUAAGGAUCGGCUAACUCCGUGCCAGCAGCCGCGGUAAUACGGAGGAUCCAAGCGUUAUCCGGAAUCAUUGGGUUUAAAGGGUCCGUAGGCGGUUUAAUAAGUCAGUGGUGAAAGCCCAUCNCUCAACGGUGGAACGGCCAUUGAUACUGUUAGACUUGAAUUAUUAGGAAGUAACUAGAAUAUGUAGUGUAGCGGUGAAAUGCUUAGAGAUUACAUGGAAUACCAAUUGCGAAGGCAGGUUACUACUAAUUGAUUGACGCUGAUGGACGAAAGCGUGGGUAGCGAACAGGAUUAGAUACCCUGGUAGUCCACGCCGUAAACGAUGGAUACUAGCUGUUGGGAGCAAUCUCAGUGGCUAAGCGAAAGUGAUAAGUAUCCCACCUGGGGAGUACGUUCGCAAGAAUGAAACUCAAAGGAAUUGACGGGGGCCCGCACAAGCGGUGGAGCAUGUGGUUUAAUUCGAUGAUACGCGAGGAACCUUACCAAGGC
rnacentral:rRNA from 1 species